rnacentral:rRNA from 1 species
AUUGAACGCUGGCGGCAUGCCUUACACAUGCAAGUCGAACGGCAGCACGGGUGCUUGCACCUGGUGGCGAGUGGCGAACGGGUGAGUAAUACAUCGGAACAUGUCCUGUAGUGGGGGAUAGCCCGGCGAAAGCCGGAUUAAUACCGCAUACGAUCUACGGAUGAAAGCGGGGGACCUUCGGGCCUCGCGCUAUAGGGUUGGCCGAUGGCUGAUUAGCUAGUUGGUGGGGUAAAGGCCUACCAAGGCGACGAUCAGUAGCUGGUCUGAGAGGACGACCAGCCACCCUGGGACUGAGCCACGGCCCAGACCCCUACGGGAGGCAGCAGUGGGGAAUUUUGGACAAUGGGCGAAAGCCUGAUCCAGCAAUGCCGCGUGUGUGAAGAAGGCCUUGGGGUUUUAAAGCAUUUUUGCCCGGAAAGAAAUCCUUGGCCCUAAUACGGUCGGGGGGGUGCCGGUCCCGAAAGAAUAAGCACCGGCUAACCCCGU